UAGUGCAAUUUGUUGUAGCUUGCUGUUAAUUCAAGCUCAAUUCAAUUGCACUG
rnacentral:pre_miRNA from 1 species